GAGAGAAGCAGAAAAAAAGAAGAAAAAAGAAAGCAAAAGAGGGAGUCUUUUUGUAGUAAAAUUGUGAUCUAAGAAGAUCUAACGGUCCGAUUUUUGAUUCGUAUAUGGAAACGUGAUCCUUACACUUGGAUCUACGUUUUUACCGAUCAUUUUUGAGGUGAUGAGCUUGUUAGAACUUGUUGAAGGCUACCCAAACCAUGGGUUUUGGUUUGGUGAGUUUUUGUGAUAUAUUGCAAGGUGGUGUGUAGAAGACCUAGUGAUUAACUCCGUGCAGCCAAGGUUCUGCGGAUAUAGAUAUUGACUCGUUCACUUAACAUACGGGAUGUUAUGAUUGGAGCACAUUACGACAGUCAUAAGUCACGGACUCAUAGGUAGUCCGCAUUUGGGUAUUUUAUUUAUGGCUCGUGUCAUACGUGGCAUAUGUAUUUGUUGAGCCUGUAUUUUAGUAUAUAGUCAAUGUAAUAUGUUUUAUAAGCCUUAAAUAGAUAGACUUGUAAAUGACUCUUCUUGUAAUUAACUGUUAUGUAUUAAAUGUAUUUUCGCUUAUAAUAUGUG